UUGUGUACACUGUGAUUUCAUUAAGAAAUCUCCCAUUAUAAACCCAAAUUCAUACAUACAUGAAUAUUUAUGAUCUGCCAGUUAAUAAAAAACACUGAAAACAGGUUUAGCAGCAGAACCCUUGAUCUGUUCUAUAAAUCUUUAUAAACUUCUGAUCAAAUCUGUUCUGCUCUUUACGCAGGUCUGUCAGGAGGUGGCGCUCUGCUCUCCUGUUGAACUGAACUGAGAGUCUGAGUCAGAUCAACAUGAGCUCCUUGAAGAGGAACUCUUCUAUUCAUUCAGUCUCUGAGCUUCAGACAGGAUGCUGCUCUGUGUUCUGCUCAUCUUUACUCUGACUGAAGAAAUCAUUGCUGCUGAUGGAAUACAGCCACUCUUCAGUGAAAAGCGAGUUUUGGAGGGAGCAGAUGUGACUCUCUCCUGUAAUUAUCCUGCAUCUUACAUAACCGGCCUGCAGUGGUACCGUCAGUAUCCUGGAUCAGAACCAGAAUUCCUCAUUUUCCUCACUGAGGCUCAAGGAGCAUCUAAUUCUACUCUCCGUCUGACAGCAAAAGCUGACAAACAACAGAAACAAGUGGAUCUGAACAUAUCUAGAACUGCAGUAUCAGACUCUGCUCUCUACUACUGCGCUCUGCAGCCCACAGUGACAGAAACCCACCAAACACUGUACUAAAACUUUACUUGUGAAAUAUGUAGAAACACUUAUAUUUCAGGAGGGGGCGCUGUUUCUCUUCUGAUUC